rnacentral:lncRNA from 12 species
CUCUGCUCAAUCUAACAAUGUGGUUAAAGCUCUAGGGCUUCUCUCAAGUGAUUAUACUACUCAGAGGGUAGACGGGCUCCUGGAACCCGGACAAAUCUUUAUAUACUUGGGAUUAGAUUAGUAGCCAACAGUUGAACAGCCCGAUGUUCAGAUGGGUUCCAAAAGUAAAGGGAAGGCCUAAAUCUAUCUUCAUAACUUUCACUAGUUAUUACUAAACCCAGGAUUUGGGACAAAAAUUAUCAAGGAGGAAGGAACUCCUCUCUAGUCUGGCUGUCCAGACUACAUUCUCAUGAGUAUGAUUAUUCUCAAGAUUAGUCUGCAAAUAACCAGAGGAAGGGGUUCAUUCAAUCUCCUAUGUAAUGCAUAGAUUCCUUUACAAAGGAAGGAGUUCCUUACUUUAUAAAGUGGUCAGCAAUCUAUUAAGCUCUUCCAAUAACAGGACAUUAUCUCCCAAGGCAAAUUCUGUUUAUUCUUGGCAAUAAACAGAAUUUCUCCUUGAUUUUUGACAUAUUGCUCAUUUAACUUAGGUUAAACAUCUAAUUCAGUAUCACAGGCUUGCUUUAACAAAUUGUUCUCAAUUCCAGAUGCAUCAGAAUCUCUAUGGGCAAACAUAGUAUCUUCCUUCAAAGACCAGCUCCUUUCUGUACCUGUUUCUUUUGUUAUUACCACCAUUAUGCCACUCUUUCAAGAUGGAAAAUUUGGAUAUAUGGAAUUAAAAUUCACGAGGUAUCUAUAAUGAAUAUAAAGAACAGGAGUGAUUUUUAGUAUCACUAGAUCACCCAAAACACAGACAGCUGAUCAAGUCAAGUCUAAAGCUUCUGCUUCUUCUCACCUUUAUUCCUCCACUAGGGCUUCCUUCUGCCCUAGCCUCAGUCUUACCCUUUAGGUCAUCUUCCUUCCCUAUACAUCUCCCUUACCACUCUUCCUCAAGCUAAGUGUCCUUGGAUGCCAUCUAGAAUAUUGUGGCUGAGAUUGCAAGGAUGAACAUAUCCAGCCAACAUAUACUGUUUUCACAUGAGGAGAUCAUGCAUUUCGUUAGAAUGUUACCAAAAUGACUCACUCUUCUAUUACGAUGGGUGACGAAGAGUACUGCUGUGUAUCUGGCUGUUGACUCCAAAUUAGAACGUG